ensembl:snRNA U2 U2 spliceosomal RNA
AUCGCUUCUCGGCCUUUUGGCUAAGAUCAAGUGUAGUAUCUGUUCUUAUCAGUUCAAACUCACAAACCAUCAUGAGAUCAUGACCUGAGCUAAAGUCGGAUCCUUAACUCACUGAGCCACACAGGUGCCCCUCCAUGUUUUUGAUAUUAACCUUAAAAAUAAGACCAGUUUGUUAUUUUACUAGCAAAAAAGAGUUUAU